rnacentral:tRNA from 1 species
UCCUCCUUAUUCCAGUCGGUAGAACCGCGGUCUGUUUGAUCCAUGUGCCACUGGUUCAAGUCCAGUAGGAGGAG